rnacentral:rRNA from 1 species
GGGUUGUGAGGUUAAGCGACUAAGCGUACACGGUGGAUGCCCUGGCAGUCAGAGGCGAUGAAGGACGUGCUAAUCUGCGAUAAGCGUCGGUAAGGUGAUAUGAACCGUUAUAACCGGCGAUUUCCGAAUGGGGAAACCCAGUGUGUUUCGACACACUAUCAUUAACUGAAUCCAUAGGUUAAUGAGGCGAACCGGGGGAACUGAAACAUCUAAGUACCCCGAGGAAAAGAAAUCAACCGAGAUUCCCCCAGUAGCGGCGAGCGAACGGGGAGCAGCCCAGAGCCUGAAUCAGUGUGUGUGUUAGUGGAAGCGUCUGGAAAGGCGCGCGAUACAGGGUGACAGCCCCGUACACAAAAAUGCACAUGCUGUGAGCUCGAUGAGUAGGGCGGGACACGUGGUAUCCUGUCUGAAUAUGGGGGGACCAUCCUCCAAGGCUAAAUACUCCUGACUGACCGAUAGUGAACCAGUACCGUGAGGGAAAGGCGAAAAGAACCCCGGCGAGGGGAGUGAAAAAGAACCUGAAACCGUGUACGUACAAGCAGUGGGAGCCUCUUUAUGGGGUGACUGCGUACCUUUUGUAUAAUGGGUCAGCGACUUAUAUUCUGUAGCAAGGUUAACCGAAUAGGGGAGCCGAAGGGAAACCGAGUCUUAACUGGGCGUUAAGUUGCAGGGUAUAGACCCGAAACCCGGUGAUCUAGCCAUGGGCAGGUUGAAGGUUGGGUAACACUAACUGGAGGACCGAACCGACUAAUGUUGAAAAAUUAGCGGAUGACUUGUGGCUGGGGGUGAAAGGCCAAUCAAACCGGGAGAUAGCUGGUUCUCCCCGAAAGCUAUUUAGGUAGCGCCUCGUGAAUUCAUCUCCGGGGGUAGAGCACUGUUUCGGCAAGGGGGUCAUCCCGACUUACCAACCCGAUGCAAACUGCGAAUACCGGAGAAUGUUAUCACGGGAGACACACGGCGGGUGCUAACGUCCGUCGUGAAGAGGGAAACAACCCAGACCGCCAGCUAAGGUCCCAAAGUCAUGGUUAAGUGGGAAACGAUGUGGGAAGGCCCAGACAGCCAGGAUGUUGGCUUAGAAGCAGCCAUCAUUUAAAGAAAGCGUAAUAGCUCACUGGUCGAGUCGGCCUGCGCGGAAGAUGUAACGGGGCUAAACCAUGCACCGAAGCUGCGGCAGCGACACUAUGUGUUGUUGGGUAGGGGAGCGUUCUGUAAGCCUGUGAAGGUGUGCUGUGAGGCAUGCUGGAGGUAUCAGAAGUGCGAAUGCUGACAUAAGUAACGAUAAAGCGGGUGAAAAGCCCGCUCGCCGGAAGACCAAGGGUUCCUGUCCAACGUUAAUCGGGGCAGGGUGAGUCGACCCCUAAGGCGAGGCCGAAAGGCGUAGUCGAUGGGAAACAGGUUAAUAUUCCUGUACUUGGUGUUACUGCGAAGGGGGGACGGAGAAGGCUAUGUUGGCCGGGCGACGGUUGUCCCGGUUUAAGCGUGUAGGCUGGUUUUCCAGGCAAAUCCGGAAAAUCAAGGCUGAGGCGUGAUGACGAGGCACUACGGUGCUGAAGCAACAAAUGCCCUGCUUCCAGGAAAAGCCUCUAAGCAUCAGGUAACAUCAAAUCGUACCCCAAACCGACACAGGUGGUCAGGUAGAGAAUACCAAGGCGCUUGAGAGAACUCGGGUGAAGGAACUAGGCAAAAUGGUGCCGUAACUUCGGGAGAAGGCACGCUGAUAUGUAGGUGAAGUCCCUCGCGGAUGGAGCUGAAAUCAGUCGAAGAUACCAGCUGGCUGCAACUGUUUAUUAAAAACACAGCACUGUGCAAACACGAAAGUGGACGUAUACGGUGUGACGCCUGCCCGGUGCCGGAAGGUUAAUUGAUGGGGUCAGCGCAAGCGAAGCUCUUGAUCGAAGCCCCGGUAAACGGCGGCCGUAACUAUAACGGUCCUAAGGUAGCGAAAUUCCUUGUCGGGUAAGUUCCGACCUGCACGAAUGGCGUAAUGAUGGCCAGGCUGUCUCCACCCGAGACUCAGUGAAAUUGAACUCGCUGUGAAGAUGCAGUGUACCCGCGGCAAGACGGAAAGACCCCGUGAACCUUUACUAUAGCUUGACACUGAACAUUGAGCCUUGAUGUGUAGGAUAGGUGGGAGGCUUUGAAGUGUGGACGCCAGUCUGCAUGGAGCCGACCUUGAAAUACCACCCUUUAAUGUUUGAUGUUCUAACGUGGACCCGUGAUCCGGGUUGCGGACAGUGUCUGGUGGGUAGUUUGACUGGGGCGGUCUCCUCCUAAAGAGUAACGGAGGAGCACGAAGGUUGGCUAAUCCUGGUCGGACAUCAGGAGGUUAGUGCAAUGGCAUAAGCCAGCUUGACUGCGAGCGUGACGGCGCGAGCAGGUGCGAAAGCAGGUCAUAGUGAUCCGGUGGUUCUGAAUGGAAGGGCCAUCGCUCAACGGAUAAAAGGUACUCCGGGGAUAACAGGCUGAUACCGCCCAAGAGUUCAUAUCGACGGCGGUGUUUGGCACCUCGAUGUCGGCUCAUCACAUCCUGGGGCUGAAGUAGGUCCCAAGGGUAUGGCUGUUCGCCAUUUAAAGUGGUACGCGAGCUGGGUUUAGAACGUCGUGAGACAGUUCGGUCCCUAUCUGCCGUGGGCGCUGGAGAACUGAGGGGGGCUGCUCCUAGUACGAGAGGACCGGAGUGGACGCAUCACUGGUGUUCGGGUUGUCAUGCCAAUGGCACUGCCCGGUAGCUAAAUGCGGAAGAGAUAAGUGCUGAAAGCAUCUAAGCACGAAACUUGCCCCGAGAUGAGUUCUCCCUGACUCCUUGAGAGUCCUGAAGGAACGUUGAAGACGACGACGUUGAUAGGCCGGGUGUGUAAGCGCAGCGAUGCGUUGAGCUAACCGGUACUAAUGAACCGUGAGGCUUAACCUUACAACGCCGAAGCUGUU